UACGGAGGGGGCUAGCGUUGUUCGGAAUUACUGGGCGUAAAGGGCGCGCAGGCGGCUGCUCAAGUCAGGCGUGAAAGGCCUGGGCUCAACCCGGGAAUUGCGCUUGAGACUGGGCUGGCUUGAAUCCGGGAGAGGGAUGUGGAAUUCCAGGUGUAGCGGUGAAAUGCGUAGAUAUCUGGAGGAACACCGGUGGCGAAGGCGACAUCCUGGACCGGUAUUGACGCUGAGGCGCGAAAGCCAGGGGAGCAAACGGG
rnacentral:rRNA from 1 species